AGUGAACGCUGGCGGCGUGCCUAAUACAUGCAAGUCGAACGGACGAGUAAGAGCUUGCUCUUAUGAGUUAGUGGCGCACGGGUGAGUAAUGUAUAGUUAAUCUGCCCUACACUGGAGGACAACAGUUAGAAAUGACUGCUAAUACUCCAUACUCCUUCUUAACACAAGUUAAGUCGGGAAAGUUUUUUCGUUGUAGGAUGAGACUAUAUUGUAUCAGCUAGUUGGUGAGGUAAUGGCUCACCAAGGCUAUGACGCAUAACUGGUCUGAGAGGAUGAUCAGUCACACUGGAACUGAGACACGGUCCAGACUCCUACGGGAGGCAGCAGUAGGGAAUAUUGCUCAAUGGGGGAAACCCUGAAGCAGCAACGCCGCGUGGAGGAUGACACUUUUCGGAGCGUAAACUCCUUUUGUUAGGGAAGAACAUGACGGUACCUAACGAAUAAGCACCGGCUAACUCCGUGCCAGCCGCCGCAGUAAAAC
rnacentral:rRNA from 1 species